AAACCCUCACCCUUACGAUGUUACAAUUGUAUUGUGGUGGAUUUGGAUUGUGCCGUAAUUGGCUCAUCCUGAAAUGCAUUAGCUUGUGCUUUUUACAGUGCUCGGCAUGGUGUGAUAAUUAUCUGCGCCGUCGCCUUAGGCCUGUUCUAUAUGUGCAGCUUCUAAUCGUCCCUUGUGGACAACUUACUUAACA
rnacentral:misc_RNA from 1 species